rnacentral:rRNA from 1 species
AACGAACGCUGGCGGCAUGCCUAACACAUGCAAGUCGAACGAGACCUUCGGGUCUAGUGGCGCACGGGGGCGUAACGCGUGGGAACCUGCCCUUAGGUUCGGCAUAACUCCCCGAAAGGGGUGCUAAUACCGGAUAAUGUCUUCGGACCAAAGAUUUAUCGCCGUUGGAUGGGCCCGCGUUGGAUUAGCUAGUUGGUAGGGUAAAAGCCUACCAAGGCGACGAUCCAUAGAUGGUCUGAGAGGAUGAUCAGCCACACUGGGACUGAGACACGGCCCAGACUCCUACGGGAGGCAGCAGUGGGGAAUAUUGGACAAUGGGCGAAAGCCUGAUCCAGCAAGGCCGCGUGAGUGAUGAAGGCCUUAGGGUUGUAAAGCUCUUUUACCCGGGAUGAUAAUGACAGUACCGGGAGAAUAAGCGCCGGCUAACUACGUG